UAACAUGCAAGUCGAACGGCAGCAUGAUCUAGCUUGCUAGAUUGAUGGCGAGUGGCGAACGGGUGAGUAAUACAUCGGAACGUGCCCUGUAGUGGGGGAUAACUAGUCGAAAGAUUAGCUAAUACCGCAUACGACCUGAGGGUGAAAGUGGGGGACCGCAAGGCCUCAUGCUAUAGGAGCGGCCGAUGUCUGAUUAGCUAGUUGGUGGGGUAAAGGCCCACCAAGGCGACGAUCAGUAGCUGGUCUGAGAGGACGAUCAGCCACACUGGGACUGAGACACGGCCCAGACUCCUACGGGAGGCAGCAGUGGGGAAUUUUGGACAAUGGGGGCAACCCUGAUCCAGCAAUGCCGCGUGUGUGAAGAAGGCCUUCGGGUUGUAAAGCACUUUUGUCCGGAAAGAAAUCGCACUUACUAAUAUUAGGUGUGGAUGACGGUACCGGAAGAAUAAGGACCGGCUAACUACGUGCCAGCAGCCGCGGUAAUACGUAGGGUCCAAGCGUUAAUCGGAAUUACUGGGCGUAAAGCGUGUGCAGGCGGUUGUGCAAGACCGAUGUGAAAUCCCCGGGCUUAACCUGGGAAUUGCAUUGGUGACUGCACGGCUAGAGUGUGUCAGAGGGGGGUAGAAUUCCACGUGUAGCAGUGAAAUGCGUAGAGAUGUGGAGGAAUACCGAUGGCGAAGGCAGCCCCCUGGGAUAACACUGACGCUCAUGCACGAAAGCGUGGGGAGCA
rnacentral:rRNA from 1 species